rnacentral:misc_RNA from 1 species
CUAUUUUAGUAGAAGUUUAGUCAGUGACUAUAAUGAAUCCAGGGAAUCGCCUUAAUAAUUAUGAAAAAAUAACCCUUCCAGAUAUAAAUGAAGGCCUGUGUUCUAUUUUUAGGUUGCAUAUUACUUGGAUGAAAGUUCUGUUAAAGGAGAUGUCAACCAAGUGCAAGUCAUUGAAAGAAAAAGUACCCGAGAUUCACAAUGGGAUGCUGGAAUUGGAAGCGAUUCAGGGGGAGGUGAUACAGUAGGACUUCUGAGACAAUUACACAACACGUUUGGUGUAGUGACGUCAUUUACCGGCACUUACAGAGCAGAUCAAUGGUCACUGACCUUAUCUUCCCCACAAGCUGAUGCUUAUGGAUGUCGAAUCGAGGUCAAUUCUGAUAAAUCCCUUGCAAAACCACGGUAUAACAAUCAGCAGCCCGGGACAAUCUACAGCUGUACACCUAAGAGCAGUUCCACACAGUACGAAGUCCACGUAAUGUCUGUGUACGAGGUUAUCAACAGACGUCCGCCAUCAGCCGGUGAUGCUACUGUCAGUAUCGUCAGCAGUGGCAAGUCAGGCCGACCUAUUAUACUCGUACUUGGAAGCUACGAACCUGUUAACUGGAUUCUUAAUUUACCAGCUGGCAUUACCAUCAGUAAAGUCAUCUUGGUGAGUGACUAAAGGGCCACAGAUUACCUGUUAACAGUUCAGUAAGGUCGUAAGGAGUAUAAAGAUGAAAAG